UACGUAGGGGGCGAGCGUUAUCCGGAUUCACUGGGUGUAAAGGGAGCGUAGACGGCCAAGCAAGCCAGGGGUGAAAGCCCGGGGCCCAACCCCGGGACUGCCCUUGGAACUGCAUGGCUGGAGUGCGGGAGGGGCAGGCGGAAUUCCUGGUGUAGCGGUGAAAUGCGUAGAUAUCAGGAGGAACACCGGCGGCGAAGGCGGCCCGCUGGAUCGCGACUGACGUUGAGGCUCGAAAGCGUGGGGAGCGAACAGG
rnacentral:rRNA from 1 species